rnacentral:rRNA from 1 species
UCGAGAAUCUUCCGCAAUGGGCGCAAGCCUGACGGAGCGACGCCGCGUGCGGGAUGAAGGCCCUUGGGUUGUAAACCGCUGUCAGAGGGGAUGAAAUCAUGGUUGGCUAUCCUUCCAUGUUGACAGAGCCUCAGAGGAAGCACGGGCUAAGUACGUGCCAGCAGCCGCGGUAACACGUACUGUGCGAACGUUAUUCGGAAUCACUGGGCUUAAAGGGUACGUAGGCGGCUGAUCAAGUCAGGUGUGAAAUGCCAGAGCUCAACUGUGGCACUGCGCUUGAAACUGAUUGGCUAGAGUAUUCCAGGGGUGUGCGGAACUGAUGGUGGAGCGGUGAAAUGCGUUGAUAUCAUCAGGAACACCAGAGGCGAAGGCGGCACACUGGGGGAUAACUGACGCUGAGGUACGAAAGCCAGGGUAGCGAACGGGAUUAGAUACCCCCGUAGUCC